AUUGAACGCUGGCGGCAGGCCUAACACAUGCAAGUCGAGCGGAGCGGCGGACGGGUGAGUAAUGCCUAGGUAUCUGCCUGGUAGUGGGGGAUAAAGAUCGGAAAUGGGCGCUAAUACCGCAUACUUUCAGUUGAGGCUAGGUCGGAUUAGCUAGUGGGUGGGGUAAAGGCCUACCAAGGCGACGAUCCGUAACUGGUCUGAGAGGAUGAUCAGUCACACUGGAACUGAGACACGGUCCAGACUCCUACGGGAGGCAGCAGUGGGGAAUAUUGGACAAUGGGCGAAAGCCUGAUCCAGCCAUGCCGCGUGUGUGAAGAAGGUCUUCGGGUUGUAAAGCACUUUAAGUUGGGAGGCGUUACCAACAGAAGAAGCACCGGCUAACUUCGUGCCAGCAGCCGCGGUAAUAC
rnacentral:rRNA from 1 species